UACGUAGGGUGCAAGCGUUAAUCGGAAUUACUGGGCGUAAAGCGUGCGCAGGCGGUUCUAUAAGACAGAUGUGAAAUCCCCGGGCUCAACCUGGGAACUGCAUUUGUGACUGUAGAGCUGGAGUACGGUAGAGGGGGAUGGAAUUCCGCGUGUAGCAGUGAAAUUCGUAGAUAUUAGGAAGAACACCAGUGGCGAAGGCGGCUCACUGGCCCGGUACUGACGCUCAUGUGCGAAAGCGUGGGGAGCAAACAGG
rnacentral:rRNA from 1 species